GGUGAAAAGCACCCCGGAAGGGGAGUGAAAUAGAACCUGAAACCGUGUGCUUACAAGUAGUCAGAGCCCGUUAAUGGGUGAUGGCGUGCCUUUUGUAGAAUGAACCGGCGAGUUACGAUUUGAUGCAAGGUUAAGCAGUAAAUGUGGAGCCGUAGCGAAAGCGAGUCUGAAUAGGGCGUUUAGUAUUUGGUCGUAGACCCGAAACCAGGUGAUCUACCCUUGGUCAGGUUGAAGUUCAGGUAACACUGAAUGGAGGACCGAACCGACUUACGUUGAAAAGUGAGCGGAUGAACUGAGGGUAGCGGAGAAAUUCCAAUCGAACCUGGAGAUAGCUGGUUCUCUCCGAAAUAGCUUUAGGGCUAGCCUCAAGUGAUGAUUAUUGGAGGUAGAGCACUGUUUGGACGAGGGGCCCCUCUCGGGUUACCGAAUUCAGACAAACUCCGAAUGCCAAUUAAUUUAACUUGGGAGUCAGAACAUGGGUGAUAAGGUCCGUGUUCGAAAGGGAAACAGCCCAGACCACCAGCUAAGGUCCCAAAAUAUAUGUUAAGUGGAAAAGGAUGUGGCGUUGCCCAGACAACUAGGAUGUUGGCUUAGAAGCAGCCAUCAUUUAAAGAGUGCGUAAUAGCUCACUAGUCGAGUGACACUGCGCCGAAAAUGUACCGGGGCUAAACAUAUUACCGAAGCUGUGGAUUGUCCUUUGGACAAUGGUAGGAGAGCGUUCUAAGGGCGUUGAAGCAUGAUCGUAAGGACAUGUGGAGCGCUUAGAAGUGAGAAUGCCGGUGUGAGUAGCGAAAGACGGGUGAGAAUCCCG
rnacentral:rRNA from 1 species